UAGCUCCUCCCGCACCCAGGAUCAAUUCAUUAGUCAAUCUCUUAAGGUGGUGGUUCACUUGGCCUUUGUAUUUCGAACAUGAGUUUUGCUGGCUCUUCCGUUGCCGCUGGUGGUAGAGCUGCCAAAAAGGCAAUUGAGUUUGGUAAAACCUACGUAGUGAGGCCCAAGGGAAAACACCAAGCUACCGUUGUCUGGCUUCAUGGUCUUGGUGAUAAUGGCUCAAGCUGGUCGCAACUAUUGGAGACUCUUCCCCUACCAAAUAUUAAAUGGAUAUGUCCGACUGCACCAACUCGACCAAUAGCUUUAUUUGGUGGCUUUCCAUCCACUGCAUGGUUUGAUGUGGAAGAUCUUUCAGAAGAUGGUCCGGAUGAUUUAGAG
rnacentral:misc_RNA from 1 species